rnacentral:rRNA from 1 species
UGCAGUUAAAAGCUCGUAUUGAAACUUGGGCCUGGCUGGCGGGUCCGCCUCACCGCGUGCACUCGUCCGGCCGGGCCUUCCUUCUGAAGAACCUCAUGCCCUUCACUGGGCGUGCUGGGGAAUCAGGACUUUUACUUUGAAAAAAUUAGAGUGUUCAAAGCAGGCCUUUGCUCGAAUACGUUAGCAUGGAAUAAUAAAAUAGGGCGUGCGUUUCUAUUUUGUUGGUUUCUAGAGACGCCGCAAUGAUUAACAGGAACAGUCGGGGGCAUCAGUAUUCCGUUGUCAGAGGUGAAAUUCUUGGAUUUACGGAAGACUAACUACUGCGAAAGCAUUUGCCAAGGAUGUUUUCAUUAAUCAGUGAACGAAAGUUAGGGGAUCGAAGACGAUCAGAUACCGUCGUAGUCUUAACCGUAAACUAUGCCGACUAGGGAUCGGGCGAUGUUCUUUUUCUGACUCGCUCGGCACCUUACGAGAAAUCAAAGUUUUUGGGUUCUGGGGGGAUUAUGGUCGCAAGGCUGAAACUUAAAGAAAUUGACGGAAGGUCACCACCAGGCGUGGAGCCUGCGGCUUAAUUUGACUCAACACGGGGAAACUCACCAGGUCCAGAUGAAAUAAGGAUUGACAGAUUGAGAGCUCUUUCUUGAUUUUUCAGGUGGUGGUGCAUGGCCGUUCUUAGUUCGUGGGGUGACUUGUCUGCUUAAUUGCGAUAACGAGCGAGACCUUACUCUGCUAAAUAGCCAGGCUAACUUUGGUUGGUCGCCGGCUUCUUAGAGAGACUAUCAACUCAAGUUGAUGGAAGUUUGAGGCAAUAACAGGUCUGUGAUGCCCUUUAGAUGUUCUGGGCCGCACGCGCGCUACACUGACAGAGCCAACGAGUUCUUCACCUUUGUUCGAAAGAAUUUGGUAAUCUUGUUAAACUCUGUCGUGCUGGGGAUAAAGCAUUGC